rnacentral:tRNA from 1 species
GCGCGUGUAGCUCAGUGGUUAGAGCACCACACUGAUAAUGUGGGGGUCGGAAGUUCGACUCUUCCCACGCGCACCA